ACUCACUCACUAACAGACACACACACAGGCACUCACUGACAGUCAGUGAGUAUAUGUCAGUGAGUGCCUGUGUGUGUGUGUCUGUUAGUGAGU